rnacentral:lncRNA from 10 species
CCCUUUAGCCACUCACAUAAAGUUUAAAAAUGGGUGAAGAACGGUGGGUCUCCCUCACUCCAGAAGAAUUUGACCAACUCCAGAAAUAUUCAGAAUAUUCCUCCAAGAAGAUAAAAGAUGCCUUGACUGAAUUUAAUGAGGGUGGGAGCCUCAAACAAUAUGACCCACAUGAGGUAAGAACAUUUCCAUUUUAAGCCUUUAAAAACCCCUGUGUUUUUUAGCCUUUCCAUAAUUUGUUUCCCUCUUGGAGACUCCGCUUGCCUUGAAGAACUUGCUCCUCAGCAUGUUUCCUCUUAAGUCUCAAGUGAGCCAUUUGUGCUACCUGGCAUUAUAUGUUUCCCAAGCCCAUACACUCAUUCCACUGUC